GUGGGGAAUUUUGGACAAUGGGCGAAAGCCUGAUCCAGCCAUGCCGCGUGUGUGAAGAAGGUCUUCGGAUUGUAAAGCACUUUAAGUUGGGAGGAAGGGCAGUAAGUUAAUACCUUGCUGUUUUGACGUUACCGACAGAAUAAGCACCGGCUAACUUCGUGCCAUCAGCCGCGGUAAUACGAAGGGUGCAAGCGUUAAUCGGAAUUACUGGGCGUAAAGCGCGCGUAGGUGGUUUUGUAAGUUGGAGGUGAAAUCCCCGGGCUCAACCUGGGAACUGCCUCCAAAACUGCAUGACUAGAGUACGGUAGAGGGUAGUGGAAUUUCCUGUGUAGCGGUGAAAUGCGUAGAUAUAGGAAGGAACACCAGUGGCGAAGGCGACUACCUGGACUGAUACUGACACUGAGGUGCGAAAGCGUGGGGAGCAAACAGGAUUAGAUACCCCUGUAGUCC
rnacentral:rRNA from 1 species